rnacentral:misc_RNA from 1 species
AACGCAUAUGGCACCCGAGACUUCGGUCGAGGGUAUGUCUGUCUCAGAGUCGACGUUAAAACAUCCCCAGAGGAGGCGACUCCCGCGGGGGAGCUGGCCGUCCCGGGCGCCCCGCGCGGCGCGGCCCGGGUCGGCCGAAGGUGAGAGACGGGGGACCGCUUGCCGCGGGCAGCCACGAUUUUGGUGGGAGGACCUAGCGUCCGCAUCACGGAUCGUGCGCCCCUCAGCAGGCAGGCGGCCGCGGAGGACCCCGCCAAGGCAGGAGACGUUACAACUCUUUUUUUUCGACCUGAGAUCAGGCAAGAUCACCCGCUGAACUUAA